UCUUAUGGAUGAGCAAAGAAAGUAGUUUUUUUGAGAUGGAAUCUACUCCUGGAGAAGAUGCUAUAAA
rnacentral:pre_miRNA from 1 species